rnacentral:rRNA from 1 species
UGGGGAAUUUUGGACAAUGGGCGCAAGCCUGAUCCAGCAAUGCCGCGUGCAGGAUGAAGGCCUUCGGGUUGUAAACUGCUUUUGUACGGAGCGAAAAGGUUGUCUCUAAUACAGAUGGUUCAUGACGGUACCGUAAGAAUAAGCACCGGCUAACUACGUGCCAGCAGCCGCGGUAAUACGUAGGGUGCAAGCGUUAAUCGGAAUUACUGGGCGUAAAGCGUGCGCAGGCGGUGAUGUAAGACAGAUGUGAAAUCCCCGGGCUCAACCUGGGACCUGCAUUUGUGACUGCAUCGCUGGAGUGCGGCAGAGGGGGAUGGAAUUCCGCGUGUAGCAGUGAAAUGCGUAGAUAUGCGGAGGAACACCGAUGGCGAAGGCAAUCCCCUGGGCCUGCACUGACGCUCAUGCACGAAAGCGUGGGGAGCAAA